GUUCAGUGAAGAUACGAUGACGAGUCGGAACAGGACUCAGUCUGGCUCUGUGGGUCACUGCUGCAGAUUCACGUUCUGUGGCUCUGCUUCAGUUCCUCAGAGCAGUGAGUCCUUUUUGGUUGAAGACAUUGAGGCAUUUGUCUGAGAACG